CGCAUCUGUGCAUGCAGCAUAUCAAUAAGCGGAGGAAAAGAAACUAACAAGGAUUCCCCUAGUAACGGCGAGUGAAGCGGGAAGAGCUCAAAUUUGAAAUCUUAAAGGGUUUCCCUUUACGAAUUGUAGUUUAAAGAAGUGUUUUCUGUUGAGGUUUUGGUAAAAGUUCUUUGGAAUAGGACAUCAUAGAGGGUGAGAAUCCCGUAUUUGACCUUUACUUUCAACUUUGUGAUACACUUUCAAAGAGUCGGAUUGUUUGGGAAUGCAGUCCAAAAUGGGUGGUAAAUUUCAUCUAAAGCUAAAUAUUGGCGAGAGACCGAUAGCGAACAAGUACCGUGAGGGAAAGAUGAAAAGAACUUUGAAAAGAGAGUUAAACAGUACGUGAAAUUGUCAAAAGGGAAGCGUUUGACACCAGUGUUGUUUUUCUGAAAAUCAAUUAAAGAACUGUUUAUGCUAAGCUGUUUAGACUUUAUCAGCUAACUGUUUAGUUUUGAGCUUUUCUUUAAUGCACUUUUCAGUUAACAAGUCAACAUCAAUUUCUUUUGCUGUAAAAAAGCUUGAGGAAGGUGGCUUGAGAUUCGUCUUAAGUGUUUAUAGCCUCUUGCCUAUGCAGUCGGAGAGAUUGAGGUCUGCAGCGUAGAUCCUUCGGGGCUAAAUGCAUUUGUGCUAAGUUAUAAGCAUUUUAUAGACAACUUGUUGACUAUGAUUUGUCUUGUAGCUUACUCGCUUAUGUUAUUCUACCUACGCUUAGGAUGUUGACAGCAGUAUAGACUGU
rnacentral:rRNA from 1 species